rnacentral:rRNA from 1 species
UGGAGAGUUUGAUCCUGGCUCAGAUUGAACGCUGGCGGCAGGCCUAACACAUGCAAGUCGAACGGUAGCACAGAGAGCUUGCUCUCGGGUGACGAGUGGCGGACGGGUGAGUAAUGUCUGGGAAACUGCCUGAUGGAGGGGGAUAACUACUGGAAACGGUAGCUAAUACCGCAUAACGUCGCAAGACCAAAGAGGGGGACCUUCGGGCCUCUUGCCAUCAGAUGUGCCCAGAUGGGAUUAGCUAGUAGGUGGGGUAACGGCUCACCUAGGCGACGAUCCCUAGCUGGUCUGAGAGGAUGACCAGCCACACUGGAACUGAGACACGGUCCAGACUCCUACGGGAGGCAGCAGUGGGGAAUAUUGCACAAUGGGCGCAAGCCUGAUGCAGCCAUGCCGCGUGUAUGAAGAAGGCCUUCGGGUUGUAAAGUACUUUCAGCGGGGAGGAAGGSRAUAAGGUUAAUAACCUUGUYSAUUGACGUUACCCGCAGAAGAAGCACCGGCUAACUCCGUGCCAGCAGCCGCGGUA